rnacentral:rRNA from 1 species
UGGGGAAUCUUGCGCAAUGGGCGAAAGCCUGACGCAGCCAUGCCGCGUGAAUGAUGAAGGUCUUAGGAUUGUAAAGUUCUUUCGCUCGUGACGAUGAUGACGGUAACGAGAGAAGAAGCCCCGGCUAACUUCGUGCCAGCAGCCGCGGUAAUACGAAGGGGGCUAGCGUUGUUCGGAAUUACUGGGCGUAAAGCGCGCGUAGGCGGCUUUGCAAGCCAGAGGUGAAAUGCCUGAGCUCAACUUAGGAAUUGCCUUUGGGACUGCGAGGCUUCGAGGACUGGAGAGGUGAGUGGAAUUCCCAGUGUAGAGGUGAAAUUCGUAGAUAUUGGGAAGAACACCAGUGGCGAAGGCGGCUCACUGGCCAGUUUCUGACGCUAAAGUGCGAAAGCGUGGGGAUCAAACAGGAUUAGAUACCCAAGUAGUCCCUGAGCGGGCUGGCAAGGCGCAU